GCGUUGUCCGGAAUUAUUGGGCGUAAAGAGCUUGUAGGCGGUUUGUCGCGUCUGCUGUGAAAAUCCGGGGCUCAACCCCGGACUUGCAGUGGGUACGGGCAGGCUAGAGUGUGGUAGGGGAGACUGGAAUUCCUGGUGUAGCGGUGAAAUGCGCAGAUAUCAGGAGGAACACCGAUGGCGAAGGCAGUUCUCUGGGCCACAACUGACGCUGAGAGGCGAAAGCGUG
rnacentral:rRNA from 1 species